GAAAUGCGAUAAGUAGUGUGAAUUGCAGAAUUCAGUGAAUCAUCGAAUCUUUGAACGCACAUUGCGCCCCUUGGUAUUCCAUGGGGCAUGCCUGUUCGAGCGUCAUUUGUACCCUCAAGCUCUGCUUGGUGUUGGGUGUUUGUCCCGUCUCCGCGCGUGGACUCGCCCCAAAGUGAUUGGCAGCCGGCGUACUGGUCCCGGAGCGCAGCACAUGUCGCGCAAACGAGUGCCUUGGUACGGCGGCGUCCAUAAGCCCCUCUCUCACGCUCUUGACCUCGGAUCAGGUAGGGAUAACCGCUGAACUUAAGC
rnacentral:misc_RNA from 1 species